CAGGAUAGGUGGGAGGCGUUGAGAAUUUUCUUGCGGGAAUUUUGGAGCCAUUGGUGAGAUACCACUCUAACAAUGCUAGGAUUCUAACCCUAUACCGUUAUCCGGUUAGGGGACAGUUUCAGGUGGUCAGUUUGACUGGGGCGGUCGCCUCCUAAAAGGUAACGGAGGCGUGCAAAGGUUUCCUCAGACUGGUUGGAAAUCAGUCGAAGAGUGUAAAGGCAUAAGGAAGCUUGAUUGUGAGACUUACAAGUCGAACAAAGACGAAAGUCGGCCUUAGUGAUCCGACGGUUCCGAGUGGAAGGGCCGUCGCUCAACGGAUAAAAGUUACUCUAGGGAUAACA
rnacentral:rRNA from 1 species